rnacentral:rRNA from 1 species
UACGGAGGGUGCGAGCGUUGUCCGGAAUCACUGGGCGUAAAGGGCGCGUAGGUGGCUACUCAAGCCGCGCGGUGAAAGCCCGGGGCUCAACCCCCGGGUCGGCCGUGCGGACUGGGAGCUCGAGCACUGUAGGGGCGGGUGGAAUUCCGGGUGUAGCGGUGGAAUGCGUAGAUAUCGGGAGGAACACCAGUGGCGAAGGCGGUUACCUGGCCCGGUACUGACGCUGAGACGCGAAAGCGUGGGGAGCAAACAGG